GCACGGGUGCGGAANACGUGUGCAACCUGCCUUUAUCUGGGGGANAGCCUUUCGAAAGGAANAUUAAUACCCCAUAAUAUAUGUCAAGGCAUCUUGAUAUAUUGAAAACUCCGGUGGAUANAGAUGGGCACGCGCAANAUUANCUUGUUGGUGAGGUAACGGCUCACCAAGGCGAUGAUCUUUAGGGGGCCUGANAGGGUGAUCCCCCACACUGGUACUGANACACGGACCANACUCCUACGGGAGGCAGCAGUGAGGAAUAUUGGACAAUGGGUGAGAGCCUGAUCCAGCCAUCCCGCGUGAAGGACGACUGCCCUAUGGGUUGUAAACUUCUUUUGUACAGGGAUAAACCUUUCCACGUGUGGGAAGCUGAAGGUACUGUACGAAUAAGCACCGGCUAACUCCGUGCCAGCAGCCGCGGUAAUACGGAGGGUGCAAGCGUUAUCCGGAUUUAUUGGGUUUAAAGGGUCCGUAGGCGGGCCUGUAAGUCAGUGGUGAAAUCUCAUANCUCAACUAUGAAACUGCCAUUGAUACUGCAGGUCUUGAGUGAAUUUGAAGUGGCUGGAAUAAGUAGUGUAGCGGUGAAAUGCAUAGAUAUUACUUAGAACACCGAUUGCGAAGGCAGGUCACUAAGAUUCAACUGACGCUGAUGGACGAAAGCGUGGGGAGCGAACAGGAUUAGAUACCCUGGUAGUCCACGCCGUAAACGAUGCUAACUCGUUUUUGGGGCUUUAGGCUUCAGAGANUAAGCGAAAGUGAUAAGUUAGCCACCUGGGGAGUACGUUCGCAAGAAUGAAACUCAAAGGAAUUGACGGGGGCCCGCACAAGCGGUGGAUUAUGUGGUUUAAUUCGAUGAUACGCGAGGAACCUUACCAAGACUUAAAUGGGAGAUGACAGGUUUAGAAAUAGACCCUUCUUCGGACAUUUUCCAAGGUGCUGCAUGGUUGUCGUCAGCUCGUGCCGUGAGGUGUUAGGUUAAGUCCUGCAACGAGCGCAACCCCUGUCACUAGUUGCCAUCAUUAAGUUGGGGACUCUAGUGAGACUGCCUACGCAAGUAGAGAGGAAGGUGGGGAUGACGUCAAAUCAUCACGGCCCUUACGUCUUGGGCCACACACGUAAUACAAUGGCCGGUACAGAGGGCAGCUACACAGCGAUGUGAUGCAAAUCUCGAAAGCCGGUCUCAGUUCGGAUUGGAGU
rnacentral:rRNA from 1 species